rnacentral:rRNA from 1 species
AUGGAGCCGACCUUGAAAUACCACCCUUUAAUGUUUGAUGUUCUAACGUUGACCCGUAAUCCGGGUUGCGGACAGUGUCUGGUGGGUAGUUUGACUGGGGCGGUCUCCUCCUAAAGAGUAACGGAGGAGCACGAAGGUUGGCUAAUCCUGGUCGGACAUCAGGAGGUUAGUGCAAUGGCAUAAGCCAGCUUGACUGCGAGCGUGACGGCGCGAGCAGGUGCGAAAGCAGGUCAUAGUGAUCCGGUGGUUCUGAAUGGAAGGGCCAUCGCUCAACGGAUAAAAGGUACUCCGGGGAUAACAGGCUGAUACCGCCCAAGAGUUCAUAUCGACGGCGGUGUUUGGCACCUCGAUGUCGGCUCAUCACAUCCUGGGGCUGAAGUAGGUCCCAAGGGUAUGGCUGUUCGCCAUUUAAAGUGGUACGCGAGCUGGGUUUAGAACGUCGUGAGACAGUUCGGUCCCUAUCUGCCGUGGGCGCUGGAGAACUGAGGGGGGCUGCUCCUAGUACGAGAGGACCGGAGUGGACGCAUCACUGGUGUUCGGGUUGUCAUGCCAAUGGCACUGCCCGGUAGCUAAAUGCGGAAGAGAUAAGUGCUGAAAGCAUCUAAGCACGAAACUUGCCCCGAGAUGAGUUCUCCCUGACUCCUUGAGAGUCCUGAAGGAACGUUGAAGACGACGACGUUGAUAGGCCGGGUGUGUAAGCGCAGCGAUGCGUUGAGCUAACCGGUACUAAUGA